rnacentral:rRNA from 1 species
GAGUUUGAUCGUGGCUCAGGAUGAACGCUGGCGGCGUGCCUAAUACAUGCAAGUCGAGCGAACGGACGAGAAGCUUGCUUCUCUGAUGUUAGCGGCGGACGGGUGAGUAACACGUGGAUAACCUACCUAUAAGACUGGGAUAACUUCGGGAAACCGGAGCUAAUACCGGAUAAUAUUUUGAACCGCAUGGUUCAAAAGUGAAAGACGGUCUUGCUGUCACUUAUAGAUGGAUCCGCGCUGCAUUAGCUAGUUGGUAAGGUAACGGCUUACCAAGGCAACGAUGCAUAGCCGACCUGAGAGGGUGAUCGGCCACACUGGAACUGAGACACGGUCCAGACUCCUACGGGAGGCAGCAGUAGGGAAUCUUCCGCAAUGGGCGAAAGCCUGACGGAGCAACGCCGCGUGAGUGAUGAAGGUCUUCGGAUCGUAAAACUCUGUUAUUAGGGAAGAACAUAUGUGUAAGUAACUGUGCACAUCUUGACGGUACCUAAUCAGAAGG